rnacentral:rRNA from 1 species
GAUGAACGCUGGCGGCGUGCCUAAUACAUGCGAGUCGAGCGAACAGAUAAGGAGCUUGCUCCUUUGACGUUAGCGGCGGACGGGUGAGUAACACGUGGGUAACCUACCUAUAAGACUGGGAUAACUUCGGGAAACCGGAGCUAAUACCGGAUAAUAUUUCGAACCGCAUGGUUCGAUAGUGAAAGAUGGUUUUGCUAUCACUUAUAGAUGGACCCGCGCCGUAUUAGCUAGUUGGUAAGGUAACGGCUUACCAAGGCGACGAUACGUAGCCGACCUGAGAGGGUGAUCGGCCACACUGGAACUGAGACACGGUCCAGACUCCUACGGGAGGCAGCAGUAGGGAAUCUUCCGCAAUGGGCGAAAGCCUGACGGAGCAACGCCGCGUGAGUGAUGAAGGUCUUCGGAUCGUAAAACUCUGUUAUUAGGGAAGAACAUACGUGUAAGUAACUGUGCACGUCUUGACGGUACCUAAUCAGAAAGCCACGGCUAACUACGUG